GACGAACGCUGGCGGCGUGCUUAACACAUGCAAGUCGAACGGAAAGGCCCUGCUUUUGUGGGGUGCUCGAGUGGCGAACGGGUGAGUAACACGUGAGUAACCUGCCCUUGACUUUGGGAUAACUUCAGGAAACUGGGGCUAAUACCGGAUAGGAGCUCCUGCUGCAUGGUGGGGGUUGGAAAGUUUCGGCGGUUGGGGAUGGACUCGCGGCUUAUCAGCUUGUUGGUGGGGUAGUGGCUUACCAAGGCUUUGACGGGUAGCCGGCCUGAGAGGGUGACCGGCCACAUUGGGACUGAGAUACGGCCCAGACUCCUACGGGAGGCAGCAGUGGGGAAGAUUGCACAAUGGGCGGAAGCCUGAUGCAGCAACGCCGCGUGCGGGAUGACGGCCUUCGGGUUGUAAACCGCUUUCGCCUGUGACGAAGCGUGAGUGACGGUAAGGGGUAAAGAAGCACCGGCUAACUACGUGC
rnacentral:rRNA from 1 species